UUUAAAGCGUUGAAGAGAAGAGUAAGUUUAUAAUUUCUUUUACAGAGAACUUCUAAUUGGUUAGAAGAGGUAGUGAAUAGUAAACUGAACAUGGUCUUGGAGCUUCUGUACCGAGAUUCCUAUGAAUUUAGACUACAGCGGUAAAAUCUGCAUCCGUUACAGUGCUUAGAGUAUAAACACAAAUAAUUGUUAAAUUGGUUUUGUGUCGUACUUGAAGAGAUUUAUAUGGUGACAUAUAAAUAAAUUAGGGUGGUAACACGAAGUAUUUACUCUCGUCCCUAAG
rnacentral:ncRNA from 1 species